UACGGAGGGUGCAAGCGUUAAUCGGAAUUACUGGGCGUAAAGCGUGCGCAGGCGGUUUGUCACGUCGGGAGUGAAAACCCAGGGCUCAACCCUGGGCCUGCUUCCGAUACGGGCAGACUAGAGGUAUGCAGGGGAGAAUGGAAUUCCUGGUGUAGCGGUGAAAUGCGCAGAUAUCAGGAGGAACACCGGUGGCGAAGGCGGGUAGCUGGGCCGACACUGACGCUGAUGCGCGAAAGCCAGGGGAGCGAACGGG
rnacentral:rRNA from 1 species